CUGGCCUUGACAUGUACCGAAUUUGGGAGAGAUUCCUUAGUGCUCGAAAGAGAACGGUAACACAGGUGCUGCAUGGCUGUCGUCAGCUCGUGUCGUGAGAUGUUGGGUUAAGACCCGCAACGAGCGCAACCCUUGCCAAUAAUUGCCAUCAUUUAGUUGGNACUUUAUUGGACUGCCGGUGACAAACCGGAGGAAGGGGGGAUGACGCAAGUCUAUGNCCUUAUGNCAGGGCUUCACCGUAAUACAAUGGUCGGACAAAAGGGUGNCACCCCCGAGGGGAGCUAAUCUCAAAAGCCAUCGUAUCCGGAUUGAAGCUGCACUCGACUUUAUGAAGCGGAUCNUAGUAUCGCNGAUAACAUGUCGCGNGAAUACCUUNCGGGCUUGACACACCGCCCGUCCACCAUUGGAAGUGGGNUCACCAAAAAUANGNAANCUAACCCAAGGANGGGGCUUACCACGGGGGGAAUCAUGACUGGGGNG
rnacentral:rRNA from 1 species